rnacentral:rRNA from 1 species
UACAGAGGUGGCAAGCGUUGUUCGGAAUUACUGGGCGUAAAGGGCGCGUAGGCGGUCUUAUAAGUCUCGUGUGAAAUCCCUCGGCUUAACUGAGGAACUGCACGGGAUACUGCAAGACUUGAGAUCGGGAGAGGGAAGCGGAAUUCCGGGUGUAGCGGUGAAAUGCGUAGAUAUCCGGAGGAACACCGGUGGCGAAGGCAGCCCCCUGGGCUAACACUGACGCUGAGGCACGAAAGCGUGGGGAGCAAACAGG